rnacentral:rRNA from 1 species
CGAGGUUAAAGCGGAUGUACGUACGUAGCCGAAAAGGGGGGCUCAUCUCCUCGAGCCUCCAGCGGUCGUGGCGUUCGGACCGUCGCCGUCCUUCCCGGCUUUACGCUGGGUUACUGGACGCCGUCGACGGCCGUCGCGGCGGCGGACUCGGAGGAUAGGGGGGUGUAUUUCCCUCCUCAGUAGGCGGUCGCGGCCGCUCGAGAGUUGUCUAAGGUCCUGGGAUUGUAUCGGGAACCGCCCGGUUGCCGGCUCGCCCGGACGCCGGCGGGGACGCUAAUCCCUUAAAAUAAUCUGGCGGACUCUCGGACGGUGUUACUUUAGCGACGACGCGGAGGAGACCAAAUCCCCGGUCGUACGCGGCCGUAACGCGAUCGUUCAUCCGUCCCGUCUUGAAACACGGACCAAGGAGUCUAACACGUACGCGAGUCAACGGGUUGGCUAAACCCCGAGGCGCAACGAAAGUGAAAAAUCGGGGAGAAAACAAAAAAAAGAGGGAUUCGUUCCUCUUAUUUCUCCCCGAAUUGGGUCGAUCCGUGCUCCCCUUUAAAGCGGGGACCGGCGCAGACCCGGGGCUCGCCGCUACCUCCUCGAUUUUUAUUUUCGAGGCGGGCGGCGGGCACCUAGAGCGUACGCGCUAGUACCCGAAAGAUGGUGAUCUAUGCUCGGCCAGGAUGAAGCCAGAGGAAACUCUGGUGGAGG